AUCCAGUGGUCUCCAUUUGGUCCUUCCUUCUCUAAUGGUCCUCAUUCUACAGAACGCAUCUCCUCUUUCCUAAGGAGACGUCUCAAGGUCUCCUCCAGGUGAUUCACCCUGCUCAAGACCCAGAGAGAAACGUGGCCCUCUGUAACAGGUUUAACACAAUUCAAAUUCCAGUCUUAACAGUCCUGCAUGAUUCUUGGAGACUUAGCAAGUGCUUCUAAGAACAUGGAAAAAUGCUUAACACCACUCGUCAUUGGGGAAAUGCAAAUCAGGAAUCAUGCACAACAGGAUAGCUUCUCCCACCUGUCAGAAUGGGGAGAAUCAAAAGCGAUGUUUUCUUCCAGAAUUUUAUUAGGAAAAGUUUUGUGCAUGGAGAAAAGCUAGAAGAAUUUUACAGUGAAGAAUCUUGUAUCUCCUGCCUGGAUUCUAUAAUUGACACUUUACAAAACACACUUUAUUACAUAUCUGUCCUUUCAUCCAUCUUCAAUAGAUUUUAUUUUACUGAUGCAUUUCCAAGUCAUUUUCAGACACCAGCGCACCUCCCAAUGAGUUCUUCAACAUAUAUUGGAUUAACUAGAAUUCAAUAUUUGCUUUCUUUCACAGUAAUCAAAAAAACUAAUAUGCAGAUUUUAAUUCCAUGAUUUUGGCAAAGGCAUAUAUCUGUGUACCCUAAGCCCUCACCAAGAUACAAAAUAUUACAAUUAUUCCACGUCUAUUCUCCGUCAACGCCCACUCCUAGUCCUUACUCCCAAGAGGUAAAUCUAUUCUCAUUCUUUCCACCAUAGAUGAGUUUUGCCUGUUUUCAAACUCCAUAUACAUAAAAACACACAGUGUAUAUAUAUUUUUGUGUGUAAAAUUUCUCUUGCUCAACAUACUGUUUUGGAGGUUCAUCCCUGACAUGUAUGUAUCAAUAGUUUGCUCAUUUUUAUUGCUGUGUUCAUUGCAUGAACAUACAAGUUUUUCUCUUAUCUGUGCCCCUAAGGAUAGACACCUGAUUCUAGUUUGAUUCUAGCUUUAUGAAUAAAGCUGCCAUAAACAGUUUUUUAAAAAACUUUAUUUAUUUGACAGAGAGACAGCAAGAGGGAACACAGGCAGGGGGAGCGG